AUUGAACGCUGGCGGCAUGCUUUACACAUGCAAGUCGAACGGUAACAGGCCUUCGGGUGCUGACGAGUGGCGAACGGGUGAGUAAUGCAUCGGAACGUACCCAGAGGUGGGGGAUAACGCAGCGAAGGCUGUGCUAAUACCGCAUGUGAUCUGAGGAUGAAAGCGGGGGACCGAGCAGCAAUGUUUGGCCUCGCGCCUUUGGAGCGGCCGAUGUCGGAUUAGCUAGUUGGUGGGGUAAAGGCCUACCAAGGCGACGAUCCGUAGCUGGUCUGAGAGGACGACCAGCCACACUGGGACUGAGACACGGCCCAGACUCCUACGGGAGGCAGCAGUGGGGAAUUUUGGACAAUGGGCGCAAGCCUGAUCCAGCAAUGCCGCGUGCGGGAAGAAGGCCUUCGGGUUGUAAACCGCUUUUGGCAGGAGCGAAACGGUGUCCGCUAAUACCGGGCGCUAAUGACGGUACCUGCAGAAUAAGCACCGGCUAACUACGUG
rnacentral:rRNA from 1 species